CUUUUUAGGGCCGCAACCGAGGCAUAUGGAGGUUCCCAGGCUAGGGGCCGAGUCAGAGCUACAGCUGCCGGCCUACACCACAGCCAUACCAAGGCCAGAUCCAAGCCACAGCUCGCCGCAUGCCAGGAUCCUUAACCCACCAAGCGAGGCCAGGGAUCGAACAGGCAACUUCAUGGUUCCUAGUCCGAUUCUCUUUCCCUUGUAGAAGUUCCCAAGUGAGGGCUUGAACCCAUGCCACAGCAACCCCAGUGGCUACAGUGACAACCACUGAGCCUCAGGAGAACUCCAGGCCUUUUAUGCUUUAGGGAGGAAGUGAUGGAUGGUCCACAUUCUACCAGAUCAGUCCAGGUGGAUGGGCAUGUAGGUUGUUUCCAAUUUGUGCUAAUUCUGGACAACACUGUAGUGAACACCCUUCUGGAGCCUCACGUUGAGUCCUGAGGUUCCCUGGGGGAAUCUGCUGGUCAUGAGAGCUGUGGCACUUUUAGUUUUCACAGCUAUUUUCUUCCAAUCCAUUACUCCCCAGAGGGCCUGUCCCAAUAACCCAAUGCCCGUAAUGGCGUGGAAACUCCAAACCUCAUCAGUGUGACCUGUAGUGACAAAUUUUCAAUUUUGCCUAUUCUGAUGGGUGAAAUCGGGUCUUGGGGAGGAAUAUAUCUUAAAGGGAUGUAUGUGGGGAGGGGGUAUUUGUCCCGUCCGUCCCCCACUACAUUAUCCCAAGCCCUGACCCCCCCUCCCCGCACCGGAAACCCCCAGGGGCUCGGGCGGGGGCGGGGGUCAGCCGAGCCGCUUCCCGCGGAAGGAAGCGCCCGGCGGUUCCCGCGACAGGAUGCGCAGUUUUGCCCCCUCCCCAGCCUCCGGGGACUUCCCGGGGCCGGGCUAGGUUCGCUAGAGAGUGGCUCCCAUGCGGACGCUUUGAGCUAGGGGCGGGGGGCCUCGGUCCUCACCACGUCCCACGGGGAAGUUGUAGGUCAAUCCUCCGAGUGGGAGACGCUGAAGUCUUUCACGUCUCCCGGGAAGGAAUCGGGCAGCGAUGGAGGCGAGAUUCCCCUGGGGGGCCCUGAAGAAGGGAGGGAGGGGGGAGUGCGGUGAGUGAACGCGGCAAGAGGGAAGCCUGGGGCGGGGCCGUCCCCUCCACCGCCUCCUCCUCCUUCUACCCUUCAGCCUUGGGGUCAGGUCCCCAGGGGUCUCGGGAGGCCCGCAGCGGCCGAGCCUGCCGUCUGGAGGCGGGGCGGACUUUUUCUCGGCGCCUCCCGCCGCCCUCACUGCCCGCACCUGCGGCUCCUUUGUGCUCCAGCAGCCCCAGCCCCCCACACCCCCGCCCAGAAGCAACGCCUACAGCGUCUCCUCCUUAAUCAGCUUUGGGGAAAAUUGAAGGUUUUCUCCUCUUGGGCUGGCCAACCUGAGGUUGGGGUGGGGCCGAUCCCACGGGCACUUCUAAACCUACAGCCUCGCAGGGAAGCUGAAGAGGCCUACUUCUCAGAUGAGAAAACUGAGGCUGGGAGCUCACUUACUUCUUCGCCCGAUCCUUAGAUUGGAACGGAGCAUAAAGGGCGCUCCAAAGCUCACCUGCUCAGCUCCACCCCAAUCAC
ensembl:lncRNA